rnacentral:rRNA from 1 species
AUGCAGGAGUUGGCCCUCAAAGAGGAUGAUCUUGAUGAUGUGAUAUUUGAUGAUGAUGAUGCCCCGGCGGUGGAGAAACUCCGGUGGAUGAUCCUAGCCCGAGUUCACAUGGACAAAGUGUUCAGUAACUACUGGUUCUUCAACAACAUGCGAUCGGCAUGGGACUUAGCCAGGCCAGUCAAGAUCAAAACUUUGGAGGAUAACUUGUUCCAGAUGCAGUUUGAUUGCUUGGGGGAUUGGGAA